rnacentral:rRNA from 1 species
CCUACGGGAGGCAGCAGUGAGGAAUAUUGGUCAAUGGACGAGAGUCUGAACCAGCCAAGUAGCGUGAAGGAUGACUGCCCUAUGGGUUGUAAACUUCUUUUAUAUGGGACUAAAAUGUUCCACGUGUGGGAUUUUGUAUGUACCAUCUGAAUAAGGAUCGGCUAACUCCGUGCCAGCAGCCGCGGUAAUACGGAGGAUCCGAGCGUUAUCCGGAUUUAUUGGGUUUAAAGGGAGCGUAGGUGGAUUGUUAAGUCAGUUGUGAAAGUUUGCGGCUCAAGCGUAAAAUUGCAGUUGAAACUGGCAGUCGUGAGUACAGUAGAGGUGGGCGGAAUUCGUGGUGUAGCGGUGAAAUGCUUAGAUAUCACGAAGAACUCCGAUUGCGAAGGCAGCUCACUGGACUGCAACUGACACUGAGGCUCGAAAGUGUGGGUAUCAAACAGGAUUAGAUACCCUAGUAGUC